AACGUGAGUGGCGAGCGUUAUCCGGAAUUACUGGGCGUAAAGGGCGCGUAGGUGGUUAAGUAAGUCAUAGGUAAAAAACACUGAGCUCAACUCGGAUGGAGCUUAUGAAACUGCAUAACUUGGAGUAUGGGAGAGGAAGAUGGAAUUAUUACUGUAGCGGUGGAAUGCGUAGAUAGUAAUAGGAAGGCCAACGACGAAGGUAGUCUUCUGGACCGAUACUGACACUGAGGCGCGAAAGCGUGGGGAGCAAACAGG
rnacentral:rRNA from 1 species